UAGGGAAUCUUCCACAAUGGACGCAAGUCUGAUGGAGCAACGGCCGCGUGAGUGAAGAAGGUUUUCGGACCGUAAAGCUCUGUUGUUGGUGAAGAAGGAUAGAGGUAGUAACUGGCCCUUUAUUUGACGGUAAUCAACCAGAAAGUCACGGCUAACUACGUGCCAGCAGCCGCGGUAAUCGUAGGUGGCAAGCGUUGUCCGGAUUUAUUGGGCGUAAAGCGAGCGCAGGCGGAAGAAUAAGUCUGAUGUGAAAGCCCUCGGCUUAACCGAGGAAUUGCAUCGGAAACUGUUUUCUUGAGUGCAGAAGAGGAGAGUAGAACUCCAUGUGUAGCGGUGGAAUGCGUAGAUAUAUGGAAGAAUACCAGUGGCGAAGGCGGCUCUCUGGUCUGCAACUGACGCUGAGGCUCGAAAGCAUGGGUAGCGAACAGGAUUAGAUACCCUGGUAGUCCAUGCCGUAAACGAUGAGUGCUAAGUGUUGGGAGGCUUCCGCCUCUCAGUGCUGCAGCUAACGCAUUAAGCACUCCGCCUGGGGGAGUACGACCGCAAGGUUGAAAC
rnacentral:rRNA from 1 species